rnacentral:misc_RNA from 1 species
AAGAAAUUCAACUUUUAUCCCACUUCAACUGAACCACUGUCCUCAAAUAUCAACCCAUUACAUAUAUACAGGCUCUCAUCCAACAAGUAGAGAAUGGCCAUACAGGGAAAAUUGAACAGUGGGAUCUCUACAGGGGAUGAAAGAAACCAAUAGAUUCUCCAAAGCAUUGGCAGAUCCACUGUGCAGGGUCUGUCUCACUUCUGCCAACCCACUUUCGAAUUCUCCCCUUCUGCUGCAUUAUGAUGGAAAGAUCAGAGCAUUGGAAGGCCUUCCACCAACAAUGUUCAUCUUCCUUCAUGAAGAUCUUCUGAGAAUACAGCUGCCCUAGAAACGUCAUUCUCGAAGACACUCAAACCAGAGUAAGGACCAGAAGAGAACAUAGAAGAGGUACCAUCUGAUUCAAAGGUUGUAGAUGACUGUCUUAAGUUAGGUCGAGCACCUGAAUUUAUAGUAGUAGUAUCCUGGUACUCUGUUACUCGCUGAACCAUUUUGAGCGAUUGAACCACUUCUCCCAUUGUAGGCCUUUGGCUAGCUUCAGGAGCAACACAAGCCGCUGCAAUUGUGCAAACCCGCACAAAAUCCUCCUUUGGGUACUUCCCCUCAAGUCUUGGAUCAGCAAGUUCUUCCAAACGAUCCUUGUCUCUAAGUAUUGGUCUGGCCCAAGUGACAAGAUUCUCCUGCCCUGACGGUUGUGCCAUAUCUACAGGCCUCCUUCCUGUCAACAGUUCAAGGAGGACAACCCCAUAGCUGUACACAUCACUUUUUACCAGUAGAUGCCCAGUCAUGGCAUAUUCAGGGGCUACAUACCCA